AUUGACUGGCGCUCUGCAGGCUGGUCUCCAGGCGGCCUCGGGUCGAAUGACGGGAGUACGGGAGAUGUACCCCUGGCACCCACUGGUUUUUCGUAAAAGUCGUGAUACUCGUUCAGGGGAUUUAUAUAAUGGACUUAACAUUGCUCCAGAGAAAUUAAUUAUAACAUGAUUUAAUAUAUAGGAAUUAAAUCCUACCCAUUAUUAAACAUAAGAAGUUAAAUAAACAGAGUCGCCGAUGAACAAUUAUUUUCUUUUUAUGUUAUGGAAGCCUGAGUUCAGCGCUAUUUCACACCUUU